rnacentral:rRNA from 1 species
ACUCUGGGAUAACCCCGGGAAAUCGGAGCUAAUACCGGAUACGAGACGCACAGGCAUCUGUAGCGUCUGGAAAGAAUUUCGGUCGGGGAUGGACUCGCGGCCUAUCAGCUUGUUGGNGGGGUAAUGGCCCACCAAGGCGACGACGGGUAGCCGGCCUGAGAGGGCGACCGGCCACACUGGGACUGAGACACGGCCCAGACUCCUACGGGAGGCAGCAGUGGGGAAUAUUGCACAAUGGGCGAAAGCCUGAUGCAGCGACGCCGCGUGGGGGAUGAAGGCCUUCGGGUUGUAAACCCCUUUCAGCAGGGAAGAAGCGAGAGUGACGGUACCUGCAGAAGAAGCGCCGGCUAA